CUGAUAUACCAGCCCAAAGCUUCAGGAGAUAGUACCCACCUCCCCCACAUCAGCAGGAGAUGACUGCUCCAAUCAGCAAGUCACUUAUUUAGCUGUCAUUAAAAUAAGAAUUUCAAAGUCUGUGGUAGGUUACAGAAGGAGACCAGAAGAGGCAAAGAUUCGAUCUCAGCAUUAAAUUGUGAUGUCAAAGGAAGAUGUCUGAUACCCAGCCUUCUUAGCCCAUAGAUUCGUGCAGAUCACAGGAAAUCUGGCUUAAGUAUUUUUACAGCCAGUUAGGUAUAGUGGCCCACUCAGCAGGCUGAAGCUAGAAGGUUGUGACUUGAAACCAGCCAGAACCACACAGCUGUCUCUCAAAAAGAAAAGAGAAAAAUGUGCUGUCUGGUCCUGAUGGUGGAUGUGAUGUCUCGUGUCUAAAUCCCGGUGGUGGUUCUGAUGUCUCCUGUUUGCUCCUGAUGGUGGAGGUGAUGUGAUCAGCCGCUUCAAGUUCCUGCCUGCUUGAGUUCACCACUGCGAUGGACUGUGCCUUCACACUGCAUUUCCCAAAUUACCAGGAGAAAGUGAAGUAUGAUACAUCCGUGUGAGUAAACCACCAAUCACAUUUGACUCCAUGUGUUUACUGCAUUGAAUUGCUGUUUGGAAAUUCUUUGUGUUCUCUCACGCUCUCCUUCUUCGACAGACCUGUGAGUUGAGAAUAAAAUUUAAAACAAACAGUAUCAGCACCAUUUUUCCUUCUGCCUGUCAGUAUUUAAGAUUACUAAAUCUCCCUACUUGACAGAUGCCAACAUUAAUUUCCUCCCAUUGUUAUGAGUCUCCAGAAAUAAUGAUAUCCUUAUUACUUACAUUUCAGAGCCAAUGUCAAAGAGAGCUCCUUUGGAUACAACAUUGGGGCAAUUUGUCAGAAGGCACAGGGUCUUUAAA